AGAGUUUGAUCCUGGCUCAGAUUGAACGCUGGCGGCAUGCCUUACACAUGCAAGUCGAACGGCAGCACGGAGCUUGCUCUGGUGGCGAGUGGCGAACGGGUGAGUAAUAUAUCGGAACGUACCCUAGAGUGGGGGAUAACGUAGCGAAAGUUACGCUAAUACCGCAUACGAUCUAAGGAUGAAAGUGGGGGAUCGCAAGACCUCAUGCUCGUGGAGCGGCCGAUAUCUGAUUAGCUAGUUGGUAGGGUAAAAGCCUACCAAGGCAUCGAUCAGUAGCUGGUCUGAGAGGACGACCAGCCACACUGGAACUGAGACACGGUCCAGACUCCUACGGGAGGCAGCAGUGGGGAAUUUUGGACAAUGGGCGAAAGCCUGAUCCAGCAAUGCCGCGUGAGUGAAGAAGGCUUUCGGGUUGUAAAGCUCUUUUGUCAGGGAAGAAACGGUGAGAGCUAAUAUCUCUUGCUAAUGACGGUACCUGAAGAAUAAGCACCGGCUAACUACGUGCCAGCAGCCGCGGUAAUACGUAGGGUGCAAGCGUUAAUCGGAAUUACUGGGCGUAAAGCGUGCGCACGCGGUUUUGUAAGUCUGAUGUGAAAUCCCCGGGCUCAACCUGGGAAUUGCAUUGGAGACUGCAAGGCUAGAAUCUGGCAGAGG
rnacentral:rRNA from 1 species